CCCCGCCCGUCGGCUUGAACUGCAGCCCCGCGCCGCGGAGGACGGUGAGGCGGGAGCCAACGGCCGGCGCCGCUGGGCUGGGGGCGGCGCGCGAGCGCGGCGUCGGGGGGCCUAGCUGGGGCCGGGGACUGUGAGUCUUCUGGCCGAGCCGCCGCUCCUGCGCAGCCGUGGGAUCGCAGCAGUCGGGCCUUCGACGACCCGGCGUUCUGGGGCGCCAGCGGGCAUUGUCUCCGCCGCCGGCGUCCCCCGAGGCCGUCCCCGGGCCAUGAUCGACUCGGUGAAGCUGCGCCGCGACAGCGCGGCCGACUUCUUCUCACACUACGAGUACCUAUGCGCGCUGCAGGACUCAGUGCCGCUGCCCUCGGUGCGCGCCUGCCUGCGGGAGGGCGUGCUGGACUUCAAUGCAGACCGCCUGCGCGUCGUGGACUGGGCGCCCCUCCUGAGCACCCUCAAGAUUAACAAAGAUCUGCCCCUAAUCUCCAUCAAGAGCUUCUUCCAGUCGUGGCUUGGCGAAACAGGUUCUGACAGAAAUAAAGUUUGCAGAAGUCGUGUUCCUGCAAUAAGAAGCAAAGAUGUGACCUUCCAGUUAUGUAAAGCCCUCAAAUGCUGUUUAAGUAUAUCAAACGCUCUGAAGAACCUAGAGUUAAAUGGACUAGUUCUGAGAGAGAGAGAUUUAACUGUUUUGACAAAGGGAUUGAAUAAAUCGGCUACUCUGGUGCACCUGUCUCUUGCAAAUUGUCCAAUUGGAGAUGGAGGUUUAGAGAUUAUUUGUCAAGGUAUAAAGAACUCUAUCACUCUUAAGACAGUAAACUUCACGGGCUGUAAUCUGACGUGGCAGGGAGCAGAUCACAUGGCCAAGAUCUUAAAGUAUCAGACCAUGAGAAGGCACGAAGAAACCUGGGCUGAGAGUCUUCGUUAUAGGAGACCUGACCUGGACUGUAUGGCUGGUUUGAGGCGUAUCACUUUGAACUGCAACACGCUCAUUGGUGACCUUGGCGCAGGUGCUUUUGCAGAAUCUCUCAGUGAUGAUUUAUGGCUUAGAGCACUUGACCUGCAGCAAUGUGGCCUCACCAAUGAAGGAGCAAAGGCUUUACUAAAGGCCCUGGAAACCAAUAGAACUCUGGUCAUUCUGGAUAUAAGAAAAAAUCCGCUUGUUGAUCAUUCUGUGAUGAAAGCAGUUAUUAAAAAAGUUCUCCAGAAUGGAAGGAGCUCCAAGUCAGAGUACCAGUGGAUCACUUCUCCAUCAGUGAAGGAACCAUUCAAAACUGCUAGACAGAAAAAGAGAACUAUAGUUCUGGGAAGUGGUCGAAAAGGGAAAGCUACUAUUAGAAUCGUUAUAUGGAGACAUAGAGGAUUGGGUACAAAGAAACCUGUAAGUAACGGAAGAAAACACUCCCUUGGUAAAGACAAUUAUGCUCCUGAACCUCUGCCUCCUGGUGUGUCUGGUUUCCUGCCGUGGCGCACAGCAGAACGUGCAAAAAGGAGCAGGGGUUUUCCGUUAAUCAAAACUCGUGACGUGUAUAAUCAUUUGCAGCAAUCGAAUUUUCCUGUGACUGUGACAGUAGAGAGUCCUUCUUCCUCAGAAAUUGAAGAGGUCGAAGAUUCUUCUGAAAGUGUUCAAGAAGAGCCUGAGAAAACCAGUUUAAAGCAAGAAGCAUUACAGGAAAAACUGGAGGGGUGCCUAAAGCAGUUAAAGGAGGAAAGAGUAAUAAGACUGAAGGCCGAUAAACGAGUCAGUGAGCUGGAACAUGAAAAUGCCCAGUUAAGAAAUAUAAAUUGCUCUUUGUCUGAAGCCCUUCAUGCACAGUCAUUGACAAACAUGAUCCUGGAUGACGAAGGUGUUUUGGGCAGCAUUGAGAAUUCUUUUCAGAAGUUCCAUGCUUUCUUGGAUCUCCUUAAAGAUGCUGGGCUUGGUCAGCUUGCCACAAUGGCUGGUAUAGAUCAGUCAGAUUUUCAUUUGCUGGGUCGUCCCCAGAUGAAUUCUACUAUUAGUAGCCUGCCUAGAGAGGAAAAGAAGGCACUUGAAGAUGAAAAACCAGAAUCAAAACAGAACUCCAUAGGACAGAUGCAGAACAUCCAAGUUUCUAUUUGUAUGCAGUCAGCUUACAAUGAAGGAACUCUAAUGAAGUUUCAGAAAAUUACAAGUGAUGCCAGAAUUCCUUUGCCUCUCGACUCCUUCCAUGUCCCUGUCUCCACGCAAGAGCCCUUAGAAACUUUGAGAGACAACCUGGGAGCCCCAGUCAGUGAGCAGUGGCAGGAGUCUUUCAAAGAAUUCAUUGCUAGAACAUGUUCUCCGUCAGCAGAUGUGAUAUCUGGCACUGGAAGCCAAAGAAAAGACGACGAAUUAUCUAGAAAUAGCAGAUCUUCUUCAGAGAAAUUGACCAAAACAGGUUGAAAGGAAGGAACCGAAGAAAGGAGCUACUGAAGAUGCCCAGUGAGCGGCUCACCUGUACCUCGGGACCCCAGGAGGUGGGAGCGUGAGAUGCGUUCAUGCUCGUAGGACUGGAAGAAAGAGAUGUGAGCAGAUUCUGAUUAUAAACUACAUGCUGGAGCUUAUCGUUUAACAGAGCUGACUGAACACAUUCUUUGACUCUUCCAGAAUCUCACCGAGAUGAUUGGAGAAGUAUUAAAACAAAAAUAGAUUAAUAGCAGAGUUGAAAAACCAGAAAAUGAACAAUGUGGGAUUUCUGGAAGAUAAAAAGCAUAUUAUCGAAGGAUCAGUUAGUUAUUAAGAGCAGAACAGCUAAGCUUCCAUUCCGUGCAUCUUCGAAGCACCUCAUUAGGGAGUUGACCACCAGGCUGCAGCUAAGAAAGCAGCUCUCUGAAGUGGCAGUUCUGGCCCAGGACACACUGAGAUUGGAGAGGGUGUCACCCAAGUGACUACGAGGAGGAACUGAAGACAAGCUGCCCACCCACUCUCUCUGGCUGUGGUGACCAGCCACUCCCUUUAUCGUCGCCAGAGGCGCCUGUGAGCAGAAUCUGUGUUCACUGAAAGUGGCACAAUUUUUUGGUUUAGGAAAAGCACUUCAAGCUGUAAACCUUAGGUCCACACCUAUAAAUAAUGCCAAGAAUCAUCAGACUUGAACACCAGUAACAUAAGAGGAGACUCCAAAUUCAAACAAAUUGACCUGUUAAAGUAGUUACUAGGAAAAACAGAAGAAACUUUAAAGUAUGAUUAUGAUCUUCAGAGAGUCCCAAGGAUGUGGUAUCCAUACAGAGUAAGAUGCUAGGAAAAAGAAGGCUUUCAUUUCCGGAAAUUAAAAAUACGAUUAUGAAAAUGCACUCAGAAGAUGGACUAGAUCACAGAAUGGGUUCAGCUGAAGCUUAAAUUUGUGAACUAGAAGCUCUGAGAGAUCCCACUCAUGCCCUGCAAAGGGAUAAAAGAUAAAAAUUAUGAAAGAAAAGUGAGAGCCCGCCACAAACAGGCAUAGAGUAAUUGCACAAGCACACAGAUACUUGUGGGAUGAAUGAGACACAGAUUUUGGUAUUAGGGUUCUCAGCAACAAAAAGACAUUUUUCUCUAAGAAUUACCAAGCAAACGGAACAGUGAGUCCAUGAAAGGUUUUAAAUUAAA